UACAGAGGUCUCAAGCGUUGUUCGGAUUCAUUGGGCGUAAAGGGUGCGUAGGUGGCGCCGUAAGUGGGGUGUGAAAUUUCGGAGCUUAACUCCGAAACUGCAUUCCAUACUGCGGUGCUUGAGGACUGGAGAGGAGACUGGAAUUUACGGUGUAGCAGUGAAAUGCGUAGAGAUCGUAAGGAAGACCAGUGGCGAAGGCGGGUCUCUGGACAGUUCCUGACACUGAGGCACGAAAGCUAGGGGAGCAAACGGG
rnacentral:rRNA from 1 species